GACGAACGCUGGCGGCGUGCUUAACACAUGCAAGUCGAACGGAAAGGCCCUGCUUUUGUGGGGUGCUCGAGUGGCGAACGGGUGAGUAACACGUGAGUAACCUGCCCUUGACUUUGGGAUAACUUCAGGAAACUGGGGCUAAUACCGGAUAGGAGCUCCUGCUGCAUGGUGGGGGUUGGAAAGUUUCGGCGGUUGGGGAUGGACUCGCGGCUUAUCAGCUUGUUGGUGGGGUAGUGGCUUACCAAGGCUUUGACGGGUAGCCGGCCUGAGAGGGUGACCGGCCACAUUGGGGCUUAGGUACGGCCCAGACUCCUACGGGAGGCAGCAGUGGGGAAUAUUGCACAAUGGGCGGAAGCCUGAUGCAGCAACGCCGCGUGCGGGAUGACGGCCUUCGGGUUGUAAACCGCUUUCGCCUGUGACGAAGCGUGAGUGACGGUAAUGGGUAAAGAAGCACCGGCUAACUACGCG
rnacentral:rRNA from 1 species